GCCAAAAAUUGAACCAGCCCCUGUGCUGGAAAAAACUAAUGAAGAAACUACACAAAGCACUCCAGAACCACCGCCAAAAACUGAAGAAAGCACACCCACGCUUCCACCAGCUCCAUCUAAAGUCCCCAGAAGAUGUUGAUGCACUGAUGAUGAUGGCACGGACAGCAU